rnacentral:rRNA from 1 species
UACAGAGGGUGCAAGCGUUGUUCGGAAUUAUUGGGCGUAAAGCGCGUGUAGGCGGCUUUGCAAGUCGGGUGUGAAAGCCCUCAGCUUAACUGAGGAAGUGCGCCCGAAACUGCAUUGCUUGAGUACCAGAGAGGGUGGCGGAAUUCCCGAAGUAGAGGUGAAAUUCGUAGAUAUCGGGGGGAACACCGGUGGCGAAGGCGGCCACCUGGAUGGAUACUGACGCUGAGACGCGAAAGCGUGGGUAGCAAACAG